rnacentral:snoRNA from 1 species
GAGCAAGGGCGUCGAUUUAACAAUGAUGAAUCACUUGCAUUGAAGGUUGGCAAUAUAGUCUGCGAUUCUCCGUGCCUUUCAAAUCUAUUUUCAAUUUUGAUUACGGCCUCGAACAAAUCGCUACAUU